GAUGAACGCUAGCUACAGGCUUAACACAUGCAAGUCGAGGGGAAACGAUAGAGAAAGCUUGCUUUUUCUAGGCGUCGACCGGCGCACGGGUGAGUAACGCGUAUCCAACCUGCCCAUCACUUGGGGAUAACCUUGCGAAAGUAAGACUAAUACCCAAUGAUAUCUCUAGAAGACAUCUGAAAGAGAUUAAAGAUUUAUCGGUGAUGGAUGGGGAUGCGUCUGAUUAGCUUGUUGGCGGGGUAACGGCCCACCAAGGCGACGAUCAGUAGGGGUUCUGAGAGGAAGGUCCCCCACAUUGGAACUGAGACACGGUCCAAACUCCUACGGGAGGCAGCAGUGAGGAAUAUUGGUCAAUGGACGAGAGUCUGAACCAGCCAAGUAGCGUGCAGGAUGACGGCCCUAUGGGUUGUAAACUGCUUUUAUAAGGGAAUAAAGUGAGUCUCGUGAGGCUUUUUGCAUGUACCUUAUGAAUAAGGACCGGCUAAUUCCGUGCCAGCAGCCG
rnacentral:rRNA from 1 species